AGCGGUUGUUAGCGAUUGACACCA
rnacentral:siRNA from 1 species